AAGCUCGUAGUUGAAUUUCGGGGUUCUACCGUUGGUCGGGCAAUAGUCUGUACUGGCGUGUAGAAUUUCUACCCUCUGGGGAACCAUCAUGUUAUUUAUUUAGCGUGGUGGGAAACCAGGACCUUUACCUUGAAAAAAUUAGAGUGUUCAAAGCAGGCUUACGUCUGAAUACAUUAGCAUGGAAUAAUAAAAUAGGACGGUGGUCCUGUUUUGUUGGUUUCUGAAUCACCGUAAUGAUUAAUAGGGAUAGUUGGG
rnacentral:rRNA from 1 species